CCGCGAGUUGUGACGUCACCGAUUGCGAUGAUGGCUUCUCCUGGUGAAUGCGACGAAGUUGAAGAUGCAGAGUGCCCUUUAAGAAGAUGAAGAAAGAAAAGAUUUACAGAAAGGCAGAGGGACAAAAUAAAGCAUUCAAUGCAGAUUGCUCACUAAUGUAUUGUGACUGAUGAAAUGCUCCUGCUGCAUCUAUAUUUUCUGGAAAACGACGACGAGAAACAAAGCUAUGCAACUGAACUCAUGUAACUUACCGAGACAUUAAACAUGAAAACACAACAGAAAAGUGUUCUUAGCAAAGAAGGUAACAAGGGAAUAUGCGAACAUUUCUCCAGGCUAAGAGGUGCCACAAACUAUUGGAGUGAUUCUUGAAACCUCUACCGACACCUCCAUGAGGUACAAAACGGAUAUCACCUCACCAGGCUUAGGAGAGUGCUCAUCACUCAAAAUACUUGUGAAAUUUUCAAGUGAACGAACUUUCAGCAAAAAGAAUUUCAUUUAUUUUAUUUCUUUAUUUCUUUAGUUUGACUUGAACUUUCAUGUGAACUUUAUUAUUUAAUAGAUAAGUUUUUGAACUUAAAUUAGAGAAAGAAGAAAUGAUGUAUAUCACCAAGUUAGCAACAGUUGGUUAUACGUAAAAACAGUA